CUUCCCGGUUUGGAGAGAGUGGGGCUUGUGAAAGGCAAUACCUGGUAACCAAGGUGUCUCUAUGAAGUCAGCAGGUCCGCUUAAUAUUUCAACAACGUUUCUUCCAUCUUCUGUCUCCAUUGCUGGGCGAAGUUCAGUGCUCAGUCCUCAACAUGUUGAAAUAUAUAACCGCUGUCUAGUCACAAGGAAAACAUCAGACAAAUCCCAGCUGAGGGACGCUCUGCACAACACCCGAGUAGUCCUCAAAACUGUCAAGAUUGUCCAAGACAACGGAAGCCUGAGCCACUCACAGCCAAGCGAGGCCAGGACGACACGACGACUGAAAGUACCCUGGGAUUCUGCGUGGGAUCCUGAAACGGGGCGGGCAUUAGGGGAAAACUAAAGAAACUGGAAUAGAGUAUGGAUUUUAGUUACUGAUACUGUGCCAGCAUAGGUCCAUUAAUUGUGACUGUCCAUGCUAAUGUAAGAACCUGGGUGCAGGUGCAUGGGACUCUCUAUAUUACCCUCUCCAUUGUUUGGUAAAUCUAAAACUGUUCUAAAAAAUAAAGCCUAUUUGAAAGCAUGUAUUCAUGACAGAAAAUAAACUUUAUUCUGUAAUACUAA